rnacentral:rRNA from 1 species
UACAGAGGUCCCGAGCGUUGUUCGGAUUCAUUGGGCGUAAAGGGUGCGUAGGCGGCGGGGCAAGUCUGAUGUGAAAUCCCGGGGCUCAACCCCGGAACUGCAUUGGAUACUGCCUUGCUUGAGUACUGGAGAGGGACUGGAAUUUACGGUGUAGCAGUGAAAUGCGUAGAGAUCGUAAGGAAGGCCGGGUGGCGGAAGGCGAGGUUCCUGGACAGUUACUGACGGCUGAGGCACGAAGGGCCAGGGGAGCAAACGGG